GAUGAAGAACGCAGCGAAAUGCGAUAAGUAGUGUGAAUUGCAGAAUUCAGUGAAUCAUCGAAUCUUUGAACGCACAUUGCGCCCUUUGGUAUUCCUUAGGGCAUGCCUGUUCGAGCGUCAUUUAAACCUUCAAGCUAAGCUUGGUGUUGGGUGUCUGUCCCCGCCUCACCGCGGGGACUCGCCUCAAAAUCAUUGGCGGCCGGUACGUUGGCUUCGAGCGCAGCAGAAACGCGAACUCGAGGCCCGGCGGAUCGGCGACCAGAAGUCACUUCUUCACAGUUUGACCUCGGAUCAGGUAGGGAUACCCGCUGAACUUAAGCAUAUCAAUAAGCGGAGGA
rnacentral:misc_RNA from 1 species